rnacentral:tRNA from 1 species
GGUUGUGGCUCAGAGGUAGAGUGCUGGCCUACCAUUCAUGAGGCACUGGGUUCAAUCCUCAGAACCA